AAGCCACAGCUGCGCGGCGUCUGAGGGCUUCGUGCCCAAAAUGCUAUGCUUCGGCCGGCACAAAACAGUCAACUCAGAACUGGCACGGACCGGGGGAAUCCGACUGUCUAAUUAAAACAAAGCUUUGCGAUGGCCGCUGGUCGGUGUUGACGCAAUGUGAUUUCUGCCCAGUGCUCAGAAUGUCAUCGUGAAGAGAUUCAUCAAAGCGCGGGUAAACGGCGGGAGUAACUAUGACUCUCUUUGGGACGUAAGCCUGCGGGGUGUAAUGCCC
rnacentral:ncRNA from 1 species